AAGCAUAGGGAUCAUGUGGAAAUGGACUCAAGAAAGAAAGGCAAACAGGUCAAAAGGAGGCAAGGGAACGGACACAAAAAGGUAUCGCUCGGGUUUCCGCUACCAUUAUCGAAGUGACACGGGCUUAGUUCGAGUUGAGAUCAAGGAUUGUACGGGGUAGAAAGGUCACAUAGUCUGACUCAUAUAGGUCUUGAAGCAUUAAUGUUAUAAAAAGUUGUAAAUCCGUUUUAAUGAUUA